UGUAGAAUUCGUAAAAAAACUCACAAACAUAUUUCGGGGGAGGGGGAGGGUCACAAUCCCCCUCCCUGGUUGCACCACUGAUCGUUUAUGAUUAUCCUUUCCUACUCCUCUAGCCUAAAUUUCAAAUGGUUAUAACUCAUUAAUGAUAAAUCUGAUAUUAGUGUUAUAUAUAUAUACAAAUUUCUAGAAAAAUAUUCUCUAUUCAAAUCUGUUUUCUAAAAGGGGGUUCUUAUUUGAAUUACCAAAGUAGGUAUAAAUUUUAUACUUAUUUAAGGUAUAUUGAGUAGAGGUAAAAAU